CAGCCGCCACGGGAAUACGUAGGUGGCAAGCGUUGUCCGGAAUUAUUGGGCGUAAAGGGCUCGCAGGCGGUUUCUUAAGUCUGAUGUGAAAGCCCCCGGCUCAACCGGGGAGGGUCAUUGGAAACUGGGAAACUUGAGUGCAGAAGAGGAGAGUGGAAUUCCACGUGUAGCGGUGAAAUGCGUAGAGAUGUGGAGGAGCACCAGUGGCGAAGGCGACUCUCUGGUCUGUAACUGACGCUGAGGAGCGAAAGUGUGGGGAGCGAACAGGAUUAGAUACCCCAGUAGUCCCUGUCUCUUAUAC
rnacentral:rRNA from 1 species